CAAUUUUUGGAUCAACUAUCCUUUUACCAUUGAAACAGUUAUACACUUCACCUUUAAGAAACAAUUAUGAAUGAAAUUAAAUGUUUGUUUGAUGUAGUCCCAUGAAAGCUAGGAAGUGUGCUACAUCAGUGUGUCAGCUUCAUUGCACAGUCUACAAAUGUCUUCCUUUCCAACCAGUUUGAUUGGCAAGCCUCUCUAGGGAAGGUGCCACAUCUGGCCUUGUGCUUCUCUACCAGACUGGACGCGCUGAUUCAAGCACAGAACGGGAUGUGAGGUGGUAGAUCACAAUGAAAGAGAUGAACUCUAAUGGACUGAUCAUCAGAAACUAUAAACGAGCACAGAGGUAAAACUGAAUGUCAGUACGCUAAGCACAAGAUCUUCAUUCAGCCAUUCAGGAGAACUUUCUCUCCCCGGAUGAGGCUCUGUCGGGAGCUUUUCUCUGUUUGUAUCCUUCCUCAAUACUUUGCCAUUGGACCUUCAGCGGUUAUACAUCGUCUGUUCUUUUUAUUGCCAAUUCCAUUUGUACAAAAUAGAGAGAAUCAACCAUAACAUGACGUGGAACAUUUGUGCUGACAAAAAGGUGCUUUGUGGCCUUUGUUUUCCAUUCGAUGGGUUAUUCGUUUCGUUUAGUAUAUUUUGAAUUAUUUCUGGUCUUGUAUUUAAAGUGAAAUUCUGUAUUUAGGUGUUUCUUUGGUUGGUUUUGCACUUCUAGUCUUAAAUAGGGCUGUCAAUUGAUUAAACAUUUUAAUCGAAUGAAUCACGAUAUACUGAUUAAUUAGUCGAAUUAAUCACAUACUGUAUAUCCAUGUUUCCUGAGAAAGAAAUAAAAUACAUUUAAAAUGAAUUUAUUAAUUAAUCAUUUAAAAAUACAACAUUAUUGUGGCAUGACAGCUUUAAACAGACAUUACACAAUGUGAUUUAUAUAUUGUCAGUAAGUCAGUAUAUUGUUUUUUUCUUCUUCAUAUGAU